AUUGAACGCUGGCGGCAGGCCUAACACAUGCAAGUCGAACGAGUGGCGGACGGGUGAGUAAUGUCUGGGAAACUGCCUGAUGGAGGGGGAUAACUACUGGAAACGGUAGCUAAUACCGCAUACCAUCGGAUGUGCCCAGAUGGGAUUAGCUAGUAGGUGGGGUAAAGGCUAACCUAGGCGCCGAUCCCUAGCUGGGCUGGGAGGAUGACCAGCCAAACUGGAACUGAGACACGGCCCAGACUCCUACGGGAGGCAGCAGUGGGGAAGAUUGCACAAUGGGCGCAAGCCUGAUGAAGCCAUGCCGCGUGUAUGAAGAAGGCUUUCGGGUUGUAAAGUACUUUCAGCGGGGAGGCGUUACCUGAAGAAGAAGCACCGGCUAACUCCGUGCCAGCAGCCGCGGUAAUUC
rnacentral:rRNA from 1 species